GACUUCCCUCUCUACCGUCGACCUCAAUAAAACCCUCGACUCGCCAAAAUCUCGCCAAAAGGAAAGGUAAGAGCCCCCUUCCUCUGUUCCCUCUCUUCCAAGGAAUUCCGACCACUUCAACCGGCAAAAAUUGCCACAGUUCCACCAAAUUAACGACCACUAUGGCAGCGCAAUGUUCGGAAAUAAUUUCGUUGGACACCGCUGGUGAAUUGCGCCGGUCUGAGAUACGAGUGUGCAAUGUUCGGUAGUGGGCGGCUGAUUUGGAUUGUGAGAGGUAGACAGCUGACAUCGGCAGGAGUAUGGGGCGGUGGCGGGAUGAGAUAAUUGCCGCGGGUGGUGGUGGUGGAAGUUUGAAGGAAGAGGGGCAGGUGUGGCGACGGCUAGAAGAAAGGGUGG
rnacentral:lncRNA from 1 species